AUUAAUACUGAAAAGGAAAAAUUACAGAAACUCAUUGAGAUAAAGCAAUCUCUGGAAAAUCGUGUAGAACAAGAAAUGAAGAGAAAUGAUGAAUUACACAAAGACCUCAGUGGAUUUAAAAAACUAUUGAAAACAACACAAAAGAAAUUAAGAGAAUACGAAAAAGGAGAUGUUUAUGAGGAGAGAUGGAUGCAAACACAUUCUGAAAUGGAUAGACAAAUUAAUAAGUUAAAAAAUAAGAUUGAAAACCUUACACAACAAUUGGAAGCAGCAUCUUCAAAAUGUAAACAGU
rnacentral:lncRNA from 1 species